CGGUCGACAAAAAACCAUAUCGGAGGCUUCGAUCUACAACCCCAUUAAUCCAGAACUUCGAAAUAGGCGAAGGAGUAAGUUUUGUACAUCUGCAAUAUUACAAUUUAUAAUAGAAUUUAGUCUGGCGGAUAAGACUCUAGACUGCAUUACUCAAUGUUUUUGGCAAUGUUCAUCUUGCUACCAGUGCAAUGACAAACAUACUUGAAUAAAAUAUUGGUAUAUACCAGCGAU